AGUGAACGCUGGCGGUAGGCCUAACACAUGCAAGUCGAACGGCAGCACAGUAAGAGCUUGCUCUUACGGGUGGCGAGUGGCGGACGGGUGAGGAAUACAUCGGAAUCUACUUUUUCGUGGGGGAUAACGUAGGGAAACUUACGCUAAUACCGCAUACGACCUUCGGGUGAAAGCAGGGGAUCUUCGGACCUUGCGCGAAUGAAUGAGCCGAUGUCGGAUUAGCUAGUUGGCGGGGUAAAGGCCCACCAAGGCGACGAUCCGUAGCUGGUCUGAGAGGAUGAUCAGCCACACUGGAACUGAGACACGGUCCAGACUCCUACGGGAGGCAGCAGUGGGGAAUAUUGGACAAUGGGCGCAAGCCUGAUCCAGCCAUACCGCGUGGGUGAAGAAGGCCUUCGGGUUGUAAAGCCCUUUUGUUGGGAAAGAAAAGCAGCAGGUUAAUACCCCGCUGUUCUGACGGUACCCAAAGAAUAAGCACCGGCUAACUUCGUG
rnacentral:rRNA from 1 species